UCUGGGCUGUUUCAAAGAUCAAGAAAAAGAAUUUUGUUUCCAUUUCUCGUAACAUAUACAAUUUGGAAAGCAGAAGAAUGAUAUCUGAAUAUGGCCAUCACUAAUGAAAAUAUUAUCUUCAGGACUGAGAUUGAAAUGUAGCUAAGGAAAAAAAUCCUACAGAUGCUCCAAAUCUGUGAGGCUUCUGAAUUAGCUGAAUCCCCAGCGAAUCUUCAUUAUUGACUAGAGGAAAUUACACGGUAUUCUCCUUCUUUGCAAGGCUUGAAAAUUUAUUGAAUUGCUACUGAAAGCUUGCAGAAGGAAAAUAAAUGGAAGAAGACCACAGGGAUGUGAAAAAAAUAUAAUCAAUUAAGAUGUGCAUGGAAUCAUGGGCGUCAUGGAAGACUGUCUUAAGGAACCAGCAUUAGAACUGAAACCUAAGGUUGUAAUAGGACUUUACCAGAUGAAUAACAAGUGGGAAACCAUUCUAUCCAGAGGGAAGAAUACAUGGGAAGUCCUCAUCCAGGAAUCCACAUCACUAAGAGCAGACAGUUGGCCACAGCGAUGCUAGAAUGUAGUGAGGAGGAAAGUGGAUGAUUUUUUUGAGGAACAAUGAUAAGAUACUUAAUAUUCCCAGAGAGAGGGAGAGAAAGGAGGAAGAGAAGAAAGAAAACAAGUUGCAGACAAAGCCUUGCAAACCAGAAUGAUGACAACAACCUUAGAAGCUAGAAGGUAGAGAAGAACUACCUGCCAUGUUCUGAGGGUGAACUAUUGCCCAUCUAGAGUAUUAUACCACAGCAAAUCAUUCACCAAGUGUUAGGAGAGAAGAAAAUACUUUUUCAGACAUACACAGUCUCAAAAAUUUUAGCUCCCAAUCACUAUUUCUCAGGAAAUGUCAGCCUUAUUCGUGUAUAGAAAGAUUGAGUAUUGUUAAAAAUAUAAUUUAUCCCCUAUAAAAUAUAGUAUAUAUUUACUCCUAAUUUCCUAUCAGAUGUUUCAUGGGACUUCACAAGCUUAUAUUUAGAUAAAUGCGAAGAUGUAAAUGGAUAAAAAUAGACAAGAAGAUUGCAAGGUAAAAUGUUAAGAAGAUGUAUUAGAACAAAUUUAAAGAUUUCUCAUAAUGGCAUGGAAUUUAAACAUUGUAGCAUUGAUAGAGAAUUAUACAAGUAAACCAAUAGAAUAAUUCAGAGAUCCUGGGAACAGAGCCCUAUACAUACGCAAACUUAGCAUACGAUCAAUCUUUUAUUAGAUAUAAGUAGGAAAAAAUGGUCCAUAUGGCACAGAGGACAUCAAAAUUCCUCGGUUGCAUAUCCUCUUAAAUAUAUUUCUAAAAUAUAAUCUCACUUAGACAUUUAUUUUUACCCUAAUUUGUAAAACUUGCAACUUCUGUAUAUUUAAAUAUUGACAUUUUAAUGAAAACCAUUAUAAGAUUAUUAUAUAUUGCAACAGUUUGUAAAAUAUAUCUAAUAGAUGUAAAUACCAUUACAAAUGAUAUCUACCAGCAUCCACUUAAAAAAUUCAUAAACAUGCUUUUGAACAUUUUAAAAUUUUUUAUUUUCCCUUUUUUCUCUUUGAAUUCAUAUCUGCGUUCCACUUUCCAUGAAGAAUUUUUCCCAAUUUACUACAUUUUAUGCUUGAAAAUUAUUUAUUGAUUGCUCUAUUUUUCUUUUAUAGAAUAUGUAUAAAAUUGACAUUUUAACAUGUUUUAUUUCCUAUGACAUUAAAGAUCUAAGUGUUCAAAUAUUCA
rnacentral:lncRNA from 1 species